rnacentral:rRNA from 1 species
UACGUAGGGUGCGAGCGUUAAUCGGAAUUACUGGGCGUAAAGCGCGCGUAGGCGGUUUUGUAAGUCGGAUGUGAAAGCCCCGGGCUUAACCUGGGAAUUGCAUUCGAUACUGCGUGACUAGAGUAUGGUAGAGGGAAGCGGGAUUCCGGGUGUAGCGGUGAAAUGCGUAGAUAUCGUAAGGAAGACCAGUGGCGAAGGCGAGUCUCUGGACAGCAACUGACGCUGAGGCACGAAGGCCAGGGGAGCAAACGGG